rfam:Clostridium sp. ATCC 29733 genomic scaffold Scaffold16, whole genome shotgun sequence.
CAGCCUUUUGGCUGUGGAGGCGGCGGGCAAAAGCCCUGCCGCCGGACGGGGAAUGCGGUGCAAAUCCGCAACAGCUCACUCUACUGUGAGAGGGGACGAACCCCGCAACCACUGGCGCGCGUUCUGGGCGCGCGCUGGGAAGGGCGGGGGGAGGAGUGGCGGCCAACAGGCCGCCCGCAGCCUCAAGUCAGGAUAUCUGCCGGCAAUGUAUACGUAUA